UAGGGAAUCUUCGGCAAUGGACGAAAGUCUGACCGAGCAACGCCGCGUGAGUGAAGAAGGUUUUCGGAUCGUAAAACUCUGUUGUUAGAGAAGAACAAGGACGUUAGUAACUGAACGCCCCCUGACGGUAUCUAACCAGAAAGCCACGGCUAACUACGUGCCAGCAGCCGCGGUAAUACGUAGGUGGCAAGCGUUGUCCGGAUUUAUUGGGCGUAAAGCGAGCGCAGGCGGUUUCUUAAGUCUGAUGUGAAAGCCCCCGGCUCAACCGGGGAGGGUCAUUGGAAACUGGGAGACUUGAGUGCAGAAGAGGAGAGUGGAAUUCCAUGUGUAGCGGUGAAAUGCGUAGAUAUAUGGAGGAACACCAGUGGCGAAGGCGGCUCUCUGGUCUGUAACUGACGCUGAGGCUCGAAAGCGUGGGGAGCAAACAGG
rnacentral:rRNA from 1 species